rnacentral:rRNA from 1 species
GAUGAACGCUGGCGGCGUGCUUAACACAUGCAAGUCGAACGGAAAGGCCCCUGCUUGCAGGGGUACUCGAGUGGCGAACGGGUGAGUAACACGUGGGUGAUCUGCCCUGCACUUCGGGAUAAGCCUGGGAAACUGGGUCUAAUACCGGAUAGGACCACAUUUUGGAUGGUGUGGUGGAAAGUUUUUCGGUGUGGGAUGAGCUCGCGGCCUAUCAGCUUGUUGGUGGGGUAAUGGCCUACCAAGGCGUCGACGGGUAGCCGGCCUGAGAGGGUGUACGGCCACAUUGGGACUGAGAUACGGCCCAGACUCCUACGGGAGGCAGCAGUGGGGAAUAUUGCACAAUGGGCGCAAGCCUGAUGCAGCGACGCCGCGUGGGGGAUGACGGCCUUCGGGUUGUAAACUCCUUUCGCUAGGGACGAAGCGCAAGUGACGGUACCUGGAGAAGAAGCACCGGCUAACUACGUG